AAGUGAAUCCUCUGUAGAGUCAUUUCUUGAGGAGUCUUGCUGUGACUCGAGUGAAAAUAGGAUUCGAUGAAAUAAUGCAGGAAUGGGAGAAUCUGAAGCGUUCAGCAGGCAACAAACAAGCUUUUGGCGCUCUCUGAAGUACAAGUAGUCAGGCAGGGGUUCCUAAAUUUGGUACUGAAGAAACUCCAUCAGAUUUUCUUCUUGUAUUCAUAUGCAUGGCUUUUCUAGGAUAACGCAUCCUUUCCACUGAAGUUUCUUUCUUUGAGUCUAUUCAACGAAGCUCGUUGCUGACAGAGAAGUGCAUUAGCUAGACUACUUAAUUUCUUGUAGUGUUUUUGUGUAAAAUUUAAAUGCUGCAUAUGUUGUAGCUGGCAUUCAUGCUGAAUUAGAGUACAUUUCUAGCUGAUUUCAUUGCCUGCUUUCUUCUGCUGCUGCUGAGCUUAUUAUAAACGUCUUCUAAUUUACUUUAUUCAAGUAUUUAUCUGGUAGAGUUCUAGUUUAAAGACACUGGUAAAAGUACAGUAGUGUGAACGUGGCAACAGAGACAAAAAGAAGGAAGCGGAUAACACCCACUUUUAUGGUACUAUUUACAUUGAUAAAAAUAAGGUUCAGUCUGCAGAUGUCGUGAUAGACGAUGCAAAAGUAAACUGCAGCCUUCUGUCUUUCCUUCAUUUCUUCAUUGAUCAGAGUUGUCUUACAGCAAAUGCUCAUGCGUUCGUCCACUGCUCUGAAGCAAUGUAACCUGUAAAAAUAUCCCACCCUCAGAAGAUAAACAUGGGAAACUUUGAUUGUGAGGUCAAACCGGAGCAUGUAAAUUAACCCUUCUAACUAGCAAAAUUAUCACCUGUGCGCAAUCCAUUAACACAUUUUUCUGUAACAGCAACCCACUUCUUCAAACUGAUCAUGGAUUUCUGUUGCCGUAAAUUUAUCGCAGAUACUGUGGACGUUUGCUUCUUUUACCAUCUCACAGCAGGUUCUUCCUAGGCUUGGGUUAACUGGAUCCCGGCCUUUGUGGACAGCGUCUAUUACGCUGUAGUAGUGUUUCUCUGCUCUUGAAGAAGAGGAGGCAUGGCUGUAGAGAGUAGAGACUAGCGGGCAGAAUAUGUGUAACACUUGAGCACUUGUCAUCUUGUUGUGAAUGAUGCUCCUGUUAAUUUGUUUUGCAAACUUGCAUGUUAUUGCUGCUCGUUGUUCACUGAUUUGAAUAUUUGUAUUGGGUUCACGACAUCUCAUGUGUUGUGGCUGACUUUAGUGGCUGAGAUCAACAAUAUCUCACAUUUGUGAACACUGAACAAUAUUUACUACGAACAGGCUUAGACUAGGAUACACCUUGAUUCAAUUUUGCAUGUGCUAUUUGACCGGCUUUGUUGUUUAUGUGAUAUUUCAUUGACUGUGAAAGUUGCAGCACAUGGAUGGUUGGUGAACAGGCUACAUGAGGUUGAAAAGAAAUUAGAUGCUGCCACCUUGGUGGACAGUGACCGCCUCUGUUUAAAGCUGACCUGAUCCUUAAUAUUCUUGAAAUGUCACAAUCAAGGGUCGCCGUGAGACUCUAUGUUCAUUGAUGAGUCUCAAGCUCAGACAGAUAAACUAUUGUGUUGGGCAAGAUGCAUCUCUCAGCUUGUUGACUUUUAAUCUAUUUCAGGUAACAAAGUCCAAUUAGUAAUCCCUCUCUUCUGCACUAUAUCAUUUUUACAAGUCUCAGACCUGCAUGCAGACAACAAGUAUUACAACGUGGUUACCAGUGGAUUUGACAAAGACAACGGGAGUCUUGUUGUGACUCACGCAAAAAUAGUAAUCGAUGAAAUAAUGCAGUAAUGGGAGAACCUGAAGCGUUCAGCAGACAACAAACAAGCUUCUGGUGCUUUCUGAAGUACAAGUAGUUGGGCAAGGGUUCCUAAAUUUGGUACUGAAUAAACUCCCAUCAGAUUUUUCUUCUUGUAUUCAUCAUAUGCAUGUCUUUUCUAGGAU
rnacentral:lncRNA from 1 species